rnacentral:rRNA from 1 species
ACGAUGGCUAAUACCGCAUGAUGCCUACGGGCCAAAGAGGGGGACCUUCGGGCCUCUCGCGUCAGGAUAUGCCUAGGUGGGAUUAGCUAGUUGGUGAGGUAAUGGCUCACCAAGGCGACGAUCCCUAGCUGGUCUGAGAGGAUGAUCAGCCACACUGGAACUGAGACACGGUCCAGACUCCUACGGGAGGCAGCAGUGGGGAAUAUUGCACAAUGGGCGCAAGCCUGAUGCAGCCAUGCCGCGUGUGUGAAGAAGGCCUUCGGGUUGUAAAGCACUUUCAGUCGUGAGGAAGGUGGUGUAGUUAAUAGCUGCAUUACUUGACGUUAGCGACAGAAGAAGCACCGGCUAACUCCGUGCCAGCAGCCGCGGUAAUACGGAGGGUGCGAGCGUUAAUCGGAAUUACUGGGCGUAAAGCG